CAUGCAAGUCGAACGACACAGGGUGUUUACGGGUGAGUAACGCGUGGGAACGUGCCCUUCAGUACGGAAUAGCUUCUGGAAACGGAAGGUAAUACCGUAGACGCGCUCCGGGGGAAAGAUUUAUCGCUGAAGGAUCGGCCCGCGUUAGAUUAGCUUGUUGGUGAGGUAAUGGCUCACCAAGGCGACGAUCUAUAGCUGGUCUGAGAGGAUGAUCAGCCACACUGGGACUGAGACACGGCCCAGACUCCUACUGGAGGCAGCAGUGGGGAAUCUUGCACAAUGGGCGAAAGCGUGAUGCACCCAUGCCGCGAUGAAUGAUGAACGCCCUAAGGGUUGUAAAAUUCUUUCAUCAGGGACGAUAAUGACUGUACCUGAAGAAGAAGCCCCGGCUAACUUCGUUCCAGCAGCCGCGAUAAUACGAAUGGGGCUAGCGUUGUUCGGAAUUACUGGGCGUAAAGCGCGCGUAGGCGGACUAUUAAGCCAGAUGUGAAAUCCCGGGGCUCAACCUCGGAACUGCAUUUGGAACUGGUAGUCUAGAGGCCAGGAGAGGUUAGUGGAAUGCCGAGUGUAGAGGUGAAAUCCGUAGAUGUUCGGUGGAACACCAGUGGCGAAGGCGACUGACUGGACUGGUACUGACGCUGAGGUGCGACAGUGUGGGGAG
rnacentral:rRNA from 1 species